AAGAAAAGUCUUACAGAAGAAGAAUACCUGUACCUGGACUUUUCUCACCAAACAGAAGGAUGCAUCUUUCCUCUUCAUACAUCUGUAACUUUAUUUCUGUUAUCUUACUGUGACUGUAAAAUCUUUAAAAUUUGCUUAGUUGUCACCAAAGAGGUUAGUCAGUGGACCAGGCUAUGUGAACUCACCAUCCCUUUGGCUAUUGAGAAUUUUCUCAGAGAAUCUUCUGACCAGCCCCCAACUAUACCUGUAGAAAUACUACAGCUAGAGAAAAAGCUUAGUGAGCCUGUUAGAGUGCAUAAUGAUGAUAAACUCCGCAGGCAGAAGCUCAAGCAACAGAAGGCUGAUGGAGUUGGGCCUCCCCUUACUAAGGGAAAGGCAAAGAGCAAGGUCCACACACAGGAAACAUCUGAAGGGUUGGAUUCUUCAUCCAAGAGUCUGGAACUGAAAGUGGCAUUCUCAAAGCUCACAGUACAGGAAGAACCAGCUACUACCAACAGAGAGCCUUCUCACAUCAGAAAAGCAAAAGCCUCCGACCUUCCACCUCUGGAGCAUGUGUUUGCAGAAGGGCUUUACUUCACUCUGGCAGAUAUUGUGCUCUUGCCCUGUAUCCAUCAUUUCUUGGUAAGGUUUCAUCUGGACUGUACACAUUACUA
rnacentral:lncRNA from 1 species